UGGGGAAUAUUGCACAAUGGGCGCAAGCCUGAUGCAGCCAUGCCGCGUGUAUGAAGAAGGCCUUGGGUUGUAAAGUACUUUCAGCGGGGAGGAAGGCGUUGUGGUUAAUAACCGCAGCGAUUGACGUUACCCGCAGAAGAAGCACCGGCUAACUCCGUGCCAG
rnacentral:rRNA from 1 species